GAGACACCUGCAGGAUGAGAUAAUGAAUCGUGCGGGUCGAUCACUCCCAAGGCCAAGGGAUCAUCCCAUCUGUUAAUAGUUGUCUCAAUGCCCACUUUAGCCAUGUGCUCCUCCAACUCUGAGUAAUAUGUAUUGUAAGGUGCCACCUGCAGCUUAUGGUUAUCACCAACCAUGAGUGGUUUCUGGUUUACUCCCAGAAAGAACACACAUUCACGACAAUUAGCAAUACAGACCCGUUUUGCUGCUGUAAUCACAUGAACUCGCUCACAAUGUUCAAUCCUUGCAGCCUUGCCUACAGCUCCAAGAACUAUUGUAGUGUCAGAGCAUCCAUAGACGGUGGCAUAUCUCAAGGGUGCCAAGAUGU
rnacentral:misc_RNA from 1 species